rnacentral:lncRNA from 1 species
UUUCGCGUUCGAAUUACCGAGCAUUUUCGCCCAUUGAAAUGCACAUAACUUUGGCGGGACCACAGCUUCAGUUCGAAUAAACUGGCAGUUCGAAUUACGCGUGUUCAAAUUAAUGAGAUUCGACUGUAUUUGGAUUCAUUACAGAUGGUCAUUAUGCAGAAACCA